CAAAUUUCAAGGAGGCACCAAGAGGCCCCAUAUUACUUCCAAACCAUAGGUAAUGCCCAGAUCUCAUUUCUCCCCUGAGCCUCUAACCAGAACUCCUGUUGCACAGCUGUGAAGACGGACUCAAGCUGCCCUCAUGUUCUUUGCCCUGCUGUUCGCUUUCUAUUGAUGGUGCUGAGGGAAGGAAACAUACCCAAGUUAAGUAACCCCAAAGGAAAGGAGAAGAAACCAAAGAUGGACUCAAUCUAGAUCCCUGUAAUUAUUUCAUCCUGGAAUUCACAGCCAGAAAGGAGUUUGCCUGCAGACUGCAAGCUUCUUGCAGGCCGAACUUAGACUUCAUUCUUCAUAACCUUGGCACCAAGCACAGUGCACAGUAUGUGGUGAGUAUGCAAAAAACAAACACUUCUUUAAAAGCAGAAGAUGAAAUGGAGGGAU
rnacentral:lncRNA from 1 species